rnacentral:rRNA from 1 species
GCGACCCCAGGUCAGGCGGGACUACCCUUUGAGUU